rnacentral:lncRNA from 1 species
GUGUACGCAUGUAUGUAGAUUGAUCAGUACGUACGUACGUAGAAUUGUGAUUAAUGACUAGGCCGUGAGCUCUUCCUCCUUGUGGGUCUCGAUGACGAGGUCGGAGCGGGGGUAGGCGACGCAGGUGAGGACGUAGCCGGCGGCGAUCUGGUCGUCGUCGAGGAAGCUGCCGUCGGACUGGUCGAUCUCGCAGGACGAGCAGGAGCCGGCGCGGCAGGAGUAGGGCAGAUCGAUCCCCUGCUCCUCCACCGUGUCCAGGAUGUACACGUCCUCCGGGCAGCUCACCUCCACCUCCCCCGUCGGCGUUAUCAGCUUCACCUUGUACGCCAUCGCCGUCAUCCG